UAGCUUAAUGGCAGAACACUUGCCUAUCAUGUAAGAGGCCCUGGGUUCAAUUCCCAG
rnacentral:tRNA from 1 species